rnacentral:rRNA from 1 species
ACGGAAGGCAGCAGUGGGGAAUAUUGGGCAAUGGGCGCAAGCCUGACCCAGCAACGCCGCGUGAAGGAUGAAGGUCUUCGGAUUGUAAACUUCUUUAAUCGGGGAAGAAAAAAAUGACCUACCCGAAGAAUAAGCCACGGCUAACUACGUGCCAGCAGCCGCGGUAAUACGUAGGUGGCAAGCGUUAUCCGGAUUUACUGGGUGUAAAGGGCGCGUAGGCGGGGAUGCAAGUCAGGUGUGAAAUCUAUGGGCUUAACCCAUAAACUGCAUUUGAAACUGUAUCUCUUGAGUGUCGGAGAGGUAGAUGGAAUUCCUAGUGUAGCGGUGAAAUGCGUAGAUAUUAGGAGGAACACCAGUGGCGAAGGCGAUCUACUGGACGAUAACUGACGCUGAGGCGCGAAAGCGUGGGGAGCAAACAGGAUUAGAUACCCUGGUA